rnacentral:misc_RNA from 1 species
GAUGAAGAACGUAGCGAAAUGCGAUACGUAAUGUGAAUUGCAGAAUUCAGUGAAUCAUCGAAUCUUUGAACGCAUAUUGCGCUCUCUGGUAUUCCGGAGAGCAUGCUUGUUUGAGUAUCAGUAAACACCUCAACUUCCAUAUCUUUUUUGAAAUGGGAGUUGGACUUGAGUGAUCCCAACGCUUUUCCUCACCGAAAAGUGGCGGGUUACUUGAAAUGCAGGUGCAGCUGGACUUUUCUCUGAGCUAUAAGCAUAUCUAUUUAGUCUGCCUAAAAAACAGAUUAUUACCUUUGCUGCAGCUAACAUAAAGGAGAUUAGUUCUUGUGCUGACUGAUGCAGGAUUCACAAAGACAGGCUUCGGCCGACUUUGUAAACUCGAUCUCAAAUCAAGUAAGACUACCCGCUGAACUUAAGCAUAUCAAGAAGCGGAGGA